AUCCAAUUAUUGCCGAUCCUCCCCUCCAACACUGCUCUCAUCACCUAUAUACUCUUCUCUCUGCCCGUCUCUGCUUCCCCCCCCUUCCCCCCCCCCUUUUCUCCCGGCCGACGGAGCUGAAGGGGCGGGGGUUCCUUCCUUGGAGUGUUUCUAGAGCUCGGAGGCUGCUGGUAGGGGGGCACCACUUUCAGAUAAAAACAUAGACCUGAAUGGCAUCAUCCAGUAUCCAAGGAAACCAUUGUGUCUGUAACCAGCUAAUGAGCUGCAACAGAGCCUGGCCUUCAUUUUCAGCAAAUUAAGUUCAUCCCUCAUAGGAAUUGUGGUCUGGCUGUGGCACCGCUCCUAGAAGAAAGUUGAGAAAGAACGAAGAGGGCUUAGAUGCUGGUGGGUGUCUGCAAAAAAGCCCAGACAAUGCCUGGAAUAAUAAAGAAGCAGAGAACUUCCAGGGAGGAAGGGAACAGUCUCUAAGAUGGAGCAGGACCUGGGGAAGUCUUGCUUCUCCACUGAAGAACAUGGACCAAGACCAGGGCAGAAGGGAUGGCAGCUUCCCCGUAGAGCAGUGAGGACGGAUGACGACAUGAAGACUGGACUGCUCAUUCUCACCUUCCCUUCACAGUCCCUGGCACUUUUUAAGCUCCUUGGAAAUUAGAGGCAAUCUAGGAGAAAGGGGGAUAGAAGCAGACCUUAUUUCUGUUACAAUGUGAAUGGGAGCUUCAAAUUGAAGAUAAAAUGUUAUGGAAAAAGUGAAAUUAUAUAUAUAUUUUGCACAUCGUAGCUUGGUGGCUUUAGGUUUCUGUGCAUCAAAGGAAGGAAUUGUGUCUUCCUCAUUGUCAUACUCUGGUAUUGGAGAUUGUGCAACAUAUAUAGUAGGUAUGCAAUAAACAGCUGUUAACAGAAUGAAUCAA
rnacentral:lncRNA from 1 species